rnacentral:rRNA from 1 species
UCGAACGCGAAAGUCCCGCAAGGGAUAAGUAGAGUGGCAAACGGGUGAGUAACACGUGGGUGACCUGCCUUCGAGUGGGGGAUAACGUCCCGAAAGGGACGCUAAUACCGCAUAACAUCCUGCCUUUUAAGAGGUGGAGAUCAAAGCUGGGGACCGUAAGGCCUGGCGCUGGAAGAGGGGCCCGCGUCUGAUUAGCUAGUUGGUGAGGUAACGGCUCACCAAGGCAACGAUCAGUAUCCGGCCUGAGAGGGCGGACGGACACACUGGGACUGAGACACGGCCCAGACUCCUACGGGAGGCAGCAGUGGGGAAUUGUUCGCAAUGGGCGCAAGCCUGACGACGCAACGCCGCGUGGAGGAUGAAGACCUUCGGGUCGUAAACUCCUUUCGAUCGAGACGAACGGCCUCGGGGUGAAUAAUCCCGGGGAGUGACGGUACCGAGAGAAGAAGCCCCGGCUAACUCCGUGCCAGCAGCCGCGGUAAUACGGGGGGGGCAAGCGUUGUUCGGAAUUACUGGGCGUAAAGGGCUCGUAGGUGGCCAACUAAGUCAGACGUGAAAUCCCUCGGCUUAACCGGGGAACUGCGUCUGAUACUGGAUGGCUUGAGUUUGGGAGAGGGAUGCGGAAUUCCAGGUGUAGCGGUGAAAUGCGUAGAUAUCUGGAGGAACACCGGUGGCGAAGGCGGCAUCCUGGACCAACACUGACACUGAGGAGCGAAAGCCAGGGGAGCAAACGGGAUUAGAUACCCCGGUAGUCCUGGCCCUAAACGAUGAAUGCUUGGUGUGGCGGGUAUCGAUCCCUGCCGUGCCGAAGCUAACGCAUUAAGC